ACUCCUACGGGAGGCAGCAGUGGGGAAUAUUGCACAAUGGGCGCAAGCCUGAUGCAGCCAUGCCGCGUGUAUGAAGAAGGCCUUCGGGUUGUAAAGUACUUUCAGCAGUGAGGAAGGCGGAGUCGUUAAUAGCGGCCUCGUUUGACGUUAGCUGCAGAAGAAGCACCGGCUAACUCCGUGCCAGCAGCCGCGGUAAUACGGAGGGUGCGAGCGUUAAUCGGAAUUACUGGGCGUAAAGCGCAUGCAGGCGGCCUGUUAAGUCAGAUGUGAAAGCCCGGGGCUUAACCUCGGAAUUGCAUUUGAAACUGGCAGGCUAGAGUCUUGUAGAGGGGGGUAGAAUUUCAGGUGUAGCGGUGAAAUGCGUAGAGAUCUGAAGGAAUACCAGUGGCGAAGGCGGCCCCCUGGACAAAGACUGACGCUCAGAUGCGAAAGCGUGGGGAGCAAACAGGAUUAGAUA
rnacentral:rRNA from 1 species